UACCGAUUAGUAAAUAUCUUCUCAUUUAUCCUUGGAUAUCCCUCCUCCACGUCCCACAUGUCAAGGUACCACCAAUCAGAUUUCCAACCUCUCAUUCUCGUCCACUCUCUUUGACUUUUCCUUCUUUCUCUUCAUAAUAUCUUUCUUUCUUCUUCUGCAACAAACUUCUCUUUUCUUCUUCUUCCUCUUUUCUUUUAUUCCUUGCAGCACUUCUUCCUUCUUUCAUUUCUUUUGCUGAAGCACCCACACCACCAUGGUACCUCUCACUCACGUCCCCUUCUCCCUCUCCACGAGAUGCUACCGCUGGCCACCAUCACCAUGUCUUCUUCCUCUCAACACCAUCGUCCCUCCUCCUCACCGUGGCUGUAUGUCCAGCCAAGAGCCACCACCACCUUUACUUUUAUUCUCCUUGGACAACCAACCCAUGAGCCACCACCAUAUACAAAAGCUCCGACCAUGGCCACUCCAAACAGCCAUGAACACGCGAGCACCACAGCCACCGCUGGUCACCACCGCCACGCCUCCUUUCAUGAGCGAACCACCAUGUCUUCUCCAAUCUUCAAGGCUGAAGCCAUUUUUCCUCAAAGCUUUCCUUUUUCGUGCUUUUCUCCUCUCACACAAAGAACAAACAAGGGUACGAAGGACGAAAGCGCCUUGCGACGAAGCUAAGGAAUAGAAGGAAGCGAGCCGACGCGAAAAACAAAGAUGAGAUAGGAUUGGAGUUGCAGUUUAGGAAGAAAAUUGGCUAAGGCGAUGGAGAAUCUUCGAUGAAGGUUGACCUUCGUACGAGUUCGAGAUGAGGACUUGAAGAAUUAUGGAAGACUCAAAGAAUAGAGUCGGGUCUAGGGAUAGAGCCUUGGGUUAAAGAGCUUACCGUUAUUGGUUUAAGCUUGCAUAAUGAUUUUAUGAAUUUAUAUUUGAGGUUUCGGGUAGGUUCCGAUGCAUUGCUUUCCUGCGGUUCCCCGAUGUGGAGAUCGUAGGGAGUAUUUCGGAUUUAUGGUGUCAUUGCAUAAUAGGUUCUUUGUUGAGUUGUUUCUAUUGGUUAGGUUUUGUAGGUUGGGUGAUUUCGGGUUUACUUUCGGGUACUCGCCUUGUUCAAGGCUUGAUGUAAAUCCCAUUGUAGUUGGGAGUAUGCAUGACAUGUUUUGGAAAUACAUUUGAAAAGAAAAAAAUAAUACUCGUGUUUAUGUAUCA